UCCGUAGGUGGAUCAAUCAGUCAGAGGUGAAAUCCUGCAGCUUAACUGUAGAACUGCCUUUGAUACUGUUGAUCUUGAGUCAUUAUGAAGUGGUUAGAAUGUGUAGUGUAGCGGUGAAAUGCAUAGAUAUUACACAGAAUACCGAUUGCGAAGGCAGAUCACUAAUAAUGUACUGACGCUGAGGGACGAAAGCGUGGGUAGCGAACAGGAUUAGAUACCCUGGUAGUCC
rnacentral:rRNA from 1 species